GAUGAAGAACGUAGCGAAAUGCGAUACUUGGUGUGAAUUGCAGAAUCCCGUGAACCAUCGAGUCUUUGAACGCAAGUUGCGCCCGAAGCCAUUAGGCCGAGGGCACGCCUGCCUGGGCGUCACACGUCGUUGCCCCCCCAUCUACUCCUUCGGGAUUGCGAGGGGCGGAUGAUGGCCUCCCGUGCGCCUCGUCGCACGGUUGGCAUAAAUGCCAAGUCCUCGGCGACGCACGCCACGACAAUCGGUGGUUGCGAAACCUCGGUUGCCCGUCGUGUGCGGUCGUCGCGCAUCGAGGGCUCGAAAAAAUUGCCGGGCUCCGGCUCGGCUUUCAACGCGACCCCAGGUCAGGCGGGGUUACCCGCUGAAUUUAAGCAUAUCAAUAAGCGGAGGA
rnacentral:misc_RNA from 1 species